ACGCUAGCUACAGGCUUAACACAUGCAAGUCGAGGGGAAACGGCAUUGAGUGCUUGCACUCUUUGGACGUCGACCGGCGCACGGGUGAGUAACGCGUAUCCAACCUUCCCAUUACUGUGGGAUAACCUGCCGAAAGGCAGACUAAUACCGCAUAGUCUUCGAUGACGGCAUCAGAUUUGAAGUAAAGAUUUAUCGGUAAUGGAUGGGGAUGCGUCUGAUUAGCUUGUUGGCGGGGUAACGGCCCACCAAGGCAACGAUCAGUAGGGGUUCUGAGAGGAAGGUCCCCCACAUUGGAACUGAGACACGGUCCAAACUCCUACGGGAGGCAGCAGUGAGGAAUAUUGGUCAAUGGACGGAAGUCUGAACCAGCCAAGUAGCGUGCAGGAUGACGGCCCUAUGGGUUGUAAACUGCUUUUGUAUGGGGAUAAAGUUAGGGACGUGUCCCUAUUUGCAGGUACCAUACGAAUAAGGACCGGCUAAUUCCGUGCCAGCAGCCGCGGUAAUACGGAAGGUCCAAGCGUUAUCCGGAUUUAUUGGGUUUAAAGGGAGCGUAGGCUGGAGAUUAAGUGUGUUGUGAAAUGUAGACGCUCAACGUCUGAAUUGCAGCGCAUACUGGUUUCCUUGAGUACGCACAACGUUGGCGGAAUUCGUCGUGUAGCGGUGAAAUGCUUAGAUAUGACGAAGAACUCCGAUUGCGAAGGCAGCUGACGGGAGCGCAACUGACGCUUAAGCUCGAAGGUGCGGGCAUCAAACAGGAUUAGAUACCCUGGUAGUCCGCACAGUAAACGAUGGAUGCCCGCUGUUGGUACCUGGUAUCAGCGGCUAAGCGAAAGCAUUAAGCAUCCCACCUGGGGAGUACGCCGGCAACGGUGAAACUCAAAGGAAUUGACGGGGGCCCGCACAAGCGGAGGAACAUGUGGUUUAA
rnacentral:rRNA from 1 species